AGAGUUUGAUCCUGGCUCAGGACGAACGCUGGCGGCGUGCUUCAUACAUGCAAGUCGAACGAGAAGUCACCUUCGGGUGAUGGAAAGUGGCGGACGGGUGAGUAAUGUGUAGAGAAUCUGCCCUUGAGUGGGGGACAACAGUUGGAAACGACUGCUAAUACCCCAUAUGAGCUUAGCUGGAAUGCUAAUCUUGAAAACUCCGGUGCUCAAGGAUGAGUCUGCAUCUGAUUAGCUAGUUGGCGGUGUAAUGGACCACCAAGGCUACGAUCAGUAGCUGGUUUGAGAGGAUGAUCAGCCACAAUGGGACUGAGACACGGCCCAUACUCCUACGGGAGGCAGCAGUAGGGAAUUUUGCGCAAUGGGGGAAACCCUGACGCAGCAACGCCGCGUGAAUGAUUAAGCCCUUCGGGGUGUAAAGUUCUGUCAGUAGGGACGAAACUUGACGGUACCUACAGAGGAAGCACCGGCUAACUCCGUGCCAGCAGCCGCGGUAAUACGGAGGGUGCGAGCGUUGUCCGGAAUCAUUGGGCGUAAAGAGUUCGUAGGUGGCAUGUAAAGUCCGGUGUUAAAUGCAGGAGCUCAACUUCUGUUCGGCACUGGAUACUUGCAAGCUAGAAUUCGGUAGAGGUAAAGGGAAUUCCUGGUGUAGCGGUGAAAUGCGUAGAUAUCAGGAGGAACAUCGGUGGCGUAAGCGCUUUACUGGGCCGACAUUGACACUGAGGAACGAAAGCCGGGGUAGCAAAUGGGAUUAGAUACCCCAGUAGUCCCGGCCGUAAACGAUGGAUACUAGGUGUUGCGGGUAUCGACCCCUGCAGUGCCGGAGCUAACGCGUUAAGUAUCCCGCCUGGGGAGUACGCACGCAAGUGUGAAACUCAAAGGAAUUGACGGGGACCCGCACAAGCGGUGGAACAUGUGGUUUAAUUCGAAGCAACGCGAAAAACCUUACCAGGGCUUGACAUCUAACAAACCUUUAUGAAAGUAGAGGGUGCUCUUCGGAGAAUGUUAAGACAGGUGGUGCACGGUUGUCGUCAGCUCGUGUCGUGAGAUGUUGGGUUAAGUCCCGCAACGAGCGCA
rnacentral:rRNA from 1 species